UAAUGAGGAGAAACAGAACCUCAGGUAC
rnacentral:piRNA from 1 species